GUCUACGGCCAUACCACCCUGAACGCGCCCCAUCUCGUCUGAUCUCGGAAGCUAAGCAGGGUCGGGCCUGGUUACUACCUGGAUGGGAGAAAACUCAGGAGGGAUCGUCC
rnacentral:rRNA from 1 species